GUUUUGGUAGUGGCUAAAUUAGCAUGUCGCGAUACUACAGGGGAUCACGUCUAUGCAAAUAUUUGGCUUUCAAUUUGGAUUGUAUCUGUGCAAUGUGUUUUAAAUGCUGAAAUGUCGUGUUACAUUCACUUUUUACACGCACACAUCCGCCCAACAGUCUAAACUCCACCAUAUGCAAUGUGUUUUAAAUGCUGUGCUGUUGGUCAUGUGUUGAAAGAUCGUCCGCCGUUCAACUCAAGGUGAGGUGCUGGUUAUAUUGCUAAUGCUGGGUUUUGACUGUAUUUGCAUUUUAGUUGUCCAUCAAAAGAUUUUUUUGAAAAAUGGUUAGGGUGUGUGUGUGUGUGUGUGUGUGUGUGUGUGUGUGUGUGUGUGUGUGUGUGUCUGUCUAGGUGUGUGUGUGUGUCUGUCUAGGUGUGUGUGUGUGUCUGUCUAGGUGUGUGUGUGUGUGUGUCUGUCUAGGUGUGUGUGUGUGUGUGUGUGUCUGUCUAGGUGUGUGUGUGUGUGUCUGUCUAGGUGUGUGUGUGUGUGUCUGUCUAGGUGUGUGUGUGUGUGUCUGUCUAGGUGUGUGUGUGUGUGUCUGUCUAGGUGUGUGUGUGUGUGUCUGUGUGUGUCUGUGUGUGUGUGUGUGUGUGUGUGUCUGUCUAGGUGUGUCUGUGUCUGUCUGUCUAGGUGUGUGUCUGUCUGUCUGUCUGUCUGUCUAGGUGUGUGUGUGUGUGUCUGUCUAGGUGUGUGUGUGUCUGUCUGUCUGUCUGUGUGUGUGUGUGUGUCUGUCUAGGUGUGUGUGUGUG
ensembl:lncRNA